rnacentral:rRNA from 1 species
UGCCCAGUGAGUUUUAAACGGCCGCGGUACUCUGACCGUGCAAAGGUAGCAUAAUCAUUUGCCUUAUAAUUGAAGGCUGGAAUGAAUGGUUUGACAAGAAUACAUCUGUCUCUUUUUGAUUGUUUAGAACUUUAUUUUUGGAUGAAAAAGUCCAAAUAUUAUUAAAAGACAAGAAGACCCUAUCGAGCUUUAGAAAAAUUAGUAGGCUUAAUAUAAAUCAAUAUUAAUAAAAGAAAAGCUAUUAAAUACUUUGGUUGGGGCAACCGAGGAGUAACUAGAGCCUCCUUUAAGUUAAUGAAUCUUACUUGUGUUGAUCCAAGAAUUUUGAUCAAAGGAAUUAGUUACCGUAGGGAUAACAGCAUUAUCUUUUUCAAGAGCCCAUAUCGAAAAAAAGGUUUGUGACCUCGAUGUUGGACCAGAAUGUCCUAAAGAUGCAGAAGUCUUUAAGGGUUGGUCU